GGGUGCGCGCUGCGUGCUGCUCUCCCACAGCUCAGCAUGUGACCGUCGGUCCUGACCUCUCUCGGCCUCAGUGCCUCAUCGGCUAAACCAGAUGCUGGCCUGGGCACCUCUCACCCUGACCACGGCUGUGGGCAGUGAUGGCGGUGGCUGUGGCUUGGGGGGUCCACCCAGGGGCCACAGCCAGGGAGAGGCUUCACAUGGACCAUUUCAGACCGAUUUUAACAAAGGCCUCCCAGGGAGCCUCGCCCCGUCUGGGGUCUGGUGAUCCUGAAGGUCUGGCCCUGGCUGGGGGGGGGGGGGGGGCUGCCUCCCCCUCCCACCUGCCUUCUCUCCCUUUCUCCCUCCUCCCUUCUUGCUUUCUCGCUGAUCACCUUUCCAUUUCUCGAAGCCAGCUCCUUCCCGUGGACGGAGGGCCUGGGUAGGAAGGCAGCCCUUUCUCCCUGGCCUGAGCUGGGGUUGGGGCUGGUGAGGGAAGCCCGGGGCGCCCCCCAGCUCCUCACUUACAACCUGCGCCAGAGCCUUGCCAGGGGCCUGGGAGUCCUCAAGUGCCCUCUGUGCGCUGGGCCUGGGCUGGACCACGGCCUGGGGACAGGAGGCCUGGGGUCUGGGGAGUGUCACCUCCGGAGGCUGAUCAGCACCUUGCCCCACCCCCAGCCACGGGCACGGCGGGCUCAGCCAGAGCUGCCCUCUCCACGGGGUGACAGCCAGCUGUGGCCAGGGGCAGCCAGACCCACCGGGACGUGGCAAGUGUGGCAUCGGCCAUAGUCCCAGGCCCUGUCACCGCGGUGUCACCGGGCUGCAGUGAUGCAGAGCCAGCAGGGGUCCCAUCCGAGGACGUACGUGGUGGCCCAAC